CUACGGGAUGCUCCAGUGGGGAAUCUUGCGCAAUGGGCGAAAGCCUGACGCAGCAACGCCGCGUGCGGGAUGAAGGCCUUCGGGCUGUAAACCGCUUUCAGCAGGAACGAAAAUGACGGUACCUGCAGAAGAAGGAGCGGCCAACUACGUGCCAGCAGCCGCGGUGACACGUAGGCUCCAAGCGUUGUCCGGAUUUAUUGGGCGUAAAGAGCUCGUAGGCGGUUGAGUAAGUCGGGUGUGAAAACUCUGGGCUUAACCCGGAGACGCCAUCCGAUACUGCUCUGACUAGAGUUCAGGAGGGGAGUGGGGAAUUCCUAGUGUAGCGGUGAAAUGCGCAGAUAUUAGGAGGAACACCGGUGGCGAAGGCGCCACUCUGGACUGAAACUGACGCUGAGGAGCGAAAGCAUGGGUAGCAAACAGGAUUAGAUACCCGAGUAGUC
rnacentral:rRNA from 1 species